rnacentral:lncRNA from 1 species
AAGCCUCCUCUCCUGCUUUCCUGUGUCCACUUUAUCAGGAGAGUUCCCAGUUUGCAGAAUAUACAGACAGCUGCAGAGGAGGCUGUGUCUGUGUUAAGUAAACAAAGGAAAAUUUGGAAUCACCGUGCAGCAACAUUGUCCUGCCUAGAAAACCAACCCAGGGUGAAGUUGCUAGAGCCAGAAGAUGUGAAAGGGUUUGGUCUACUCUCAUUGUUUUACAGGUUUGGAAAUAGGCACUGAGCUGUGAUGUGAUCUGUUCAGAGGCAGAGCAGGGUGAGGUCUGAGUCAGGUGUGGAAGAAUCUAGGUGUUCUGGUCUAUUCCCAUGCUCAGCCCCCACAAGGCCAUUCUGUGCAUAUUCAUGCCUGAAUUCAUUGACCCCAAAUCCUUUUAGGACUGAAUCAUUUGGUGAUGACUCAGUUCUGCUCUCCAUUCUGAAUUACUACUGUACUUCUCUUUACUGCAUCCUGAUUUCUUGAUGCUACUUUUGUUCUGUUGCUUGUGGGUGGCCUCAGGGACUGUAGGGAAGGGCCUCUUAUGUCUCUGAGCUGCUAUUCCCAAGCUUGACCUCUGUAAAAGAUGCUUUCGAUCAUGCACAUAAAAGACGGUUCUGGUUGAGGGGUGGCUGUGCUGCUGUAUACAGUUGUCAAAACUUAUUGACUUGUACAUUUAAGAUCUGUGCAUUCCACAUUGUAUAAAUUAAUCCUCAAUAUAAGCAAAACCAAAACCCCAAAACCCUCACUUCAGUGUCCUCACUUGUUAAUCCUUGUAUAUUUAGGCUGGUGAAUUUUCCACUAGAGGAUUUUGCAAUGGCAACAGAGGUGGCUCAUAGUAACGCAGGGACCCUUGUCAUCACCCUUUCCUUGUGCACUAGUGGUCUUUCCACUUCCUACUCCUCUCCCAGUCUCCCCACUCCCUGGUUUCCCCCAUUUGGCAGGGAGAUGAUUGACAUAUCAGUGCAUUAAGACUAGGAUGUGUCCAGGAGGAUUUUGGUGUUGGAGGAGGUUUUCACCCAGGGCAGUGACACUACACAAUAACUACAGCCAUAGCUGUCAUUUUCUGAGCAGACACUAUUCUAAGUGCUUUCUAUGAGUUAUCACAUUGAGCCCUCACAGUCACCACUAAGGUAGAUACCAUUAUUACCUCUUCCUUACAGACACCUUACAGAGAGGCCCCACAACUGUGCUUCACUGGUACAGACCAGAAUUAGAAUCCGGACAUCUGGCAUCCAGGACUCUUGGACUCUUUUUAUAUAGCCUUUUGGGAGGAAAGAAUGACUUUUAGUGGAGAAUUAUUAGGCACUAGUCGGGGAAGACCAUUUGAAGAAGGGCAUCCCCAUUUCCUUAAAUGAUACCACAGGAAUGGCCACUUAUACCUACAUGUAAAGCCAUAAUUGGUGGUUAUGAUGAACCAAAAAAUAAAAUGGGCUCAUGGAGUAGAUUUGAUGCUCUCCGUGUACAAGUUAUUUUGUGUUUAUUAAUGCCAUAAGUUUUCCCUUCUGCAAGAAGAGGAUUGACUGGGAAUACAUGGAAGAGCCCCCUUAGAGUAUAUAGGAUAUUGCUGAAUGACCACCAAGAUGACCAGGGUGUGUGGAACUACUUUAUGAAAGACCCAGGGGGAGACCUGCAUCUUUUACAUCCCUGCCCA